UACGUAGGGUGCGAGCGUUGUCCGGAAUUAUUGGGCGUAAAGGGCUCGUAGGCGGUUUGUCGCGUCGGGAGUGAAAUCCACUGGCUUAACUGGUGGCUUGCUUUCGAUACGGGCAGACUGGAGGUAUGCAGGGGAGAACGGAAUUCCUGGUGUAGCGGUGAAAUGCGCAGAUAUCAGGAGGAACACCGGUGGCGAAGGCGGUUCUCUGGGCCUGUUCUGACGCUGAGGAGCGAAAGCGUGGGGAGCGAACAGG
rnacentral:rRNA from 1 species